UUUGAUCAUGGCUCAGAUUGAACGCUGGCGGCAUGCCUUACACAUGCAAGUCGAACGGCAGCACGGGAGCAAUCCUGGGGGCGAGUGGCGAACGGGUGAGUAAUACAUCGGAACGUGCCCAAUCGUGGGGGAUAACGCAGCGAAAGCUGUGCUAAUACCGCAUAAGAUCUACGGAUGAAAGCAGGGGAUCGCAAGACCUUGCGCGAAUGGAGCGGCCGAUGGCAGAUUAGGUAGUUGGUGAGGUAAAGGCUCACCAAGCCUUCGAUCUGUAGCUGGUCUGAGAGGACGACCAGCCACACUGGGACUGAGACGCGGCCCAGACUCCUACGGGAGGCAGCAGUGAGGAAUUUUGGACAAUGGGCGCAAGCCUGAUCCAGCCAUGCCGCGUGCAGGAUGAAGGCCUUCGGGUUGUAAACUGCUUUUGUACGGAACGAAACGGCUCUUUCUAAUAAAGAGGGCUAAUGACGGUACCGUAAGAAUAAGCACCGGCUAACUACGUGCCAGCAGCCGCGGUAAUACGUAGGGUGCAAGCGUUAAUCGGAAUUACUGGGCGUAAAGCGUGCGCAGGCGGUUAUGUAAGACAGUUGUGAAAUCCCCGGGCUCAACCUGGGAACUGCAUCUGUGACUGCAUAGCUAGAGUACGGUAGAGGGGGAUGGAAUUCCGCGUGUAGCAGUGAAAUGCGUAGAUAUGCGGAGGAACACCGAUGGCGAAGGCAAUCCCCUGGACCUGUACUGACGCUCAUGCACGAAAGCGUGGGGAGCAAACAGGAUUAGAUACCCUGGUAGUCCACGCCCUAAACGAUGUCAACUGGUUGUUGGGUCUUCACUGACUCAGUAACGAAGCUAACGCGUGAAGUUGACCGCCUGGGGAGUACGGCCGCAAGGUUGAAACUCAAAGGAAUUGACGGGGACCCGCACAAGCGGUGGAUGAUGUGGUUUAAUUCGAUGCAACGCGAGAAACCUUACCCACCUUUGACAUGUACGGAAUUUGCCAGAGAUGGCUUAGUGCUCGAAAGAGAGCCGUAACACAGGUGCUGCAUGGCUGUCGUCAGCUCGUGUCGUGAGAUGUUGGGUUAAGUCCCGCAACGAGCGCAACCCUUGUCAUUAGUUGCUACAUUCAGUUGGGCACUCUAGUGAGACUGCCGGUGACAAACCGGAGGAAGGUGGGGAUGACGUCAAGUCCUCAUGGCCCUUAUAGGUGGGGCUACACGCGUCAUACAAUGGCUGGUACAAAGGGUUGCCAACCCGCGAGGGGGAGCUAAUCCCAUAAAACCAGUCGUAGUCCGGAUCGCAGUCUGCAACUCGACUGCGUGAAGUCGGAAUCGCUAGUAAUCGUGGAUCAGAAUGUCACGGUGAAUACGUUCCCGGGUCUUGUACACACCGCCCGUCACACCAUGGGAGCGGGUUCUGCCAGAAGUAGUUAGCCUAACCGCAAGGAGGGCGAUUACCACGGCAGGGUUCGUGACUGGGGUGAAGUCGUAACAAGGUA
rnacentral:rRNA from 1 species